rnacentral:lncRNA from 1 species
CCAAGGUCACACCACUGCACUCUAGCCUGGGUGACAAGAGUGAAACUACGUCUCAAAAAAAAAAAAAAAGAUAAUGAAUGGUUAAUGGGCACAAAAAUUAUAGUUUGAUCAAAUGAGUAAGAGCUAGUAUUCUGUAGCACAAUAGGGUGACCAUAGUUUAAAAAAAUGUAUGUUUUAAAAUAACUGAAAGAGCGGUAUUGGAAUGUUCCUAACACAAAGAAAUAAUGAAUUCUUAAGAUGAAGGAGAUCCCAGUUACCCUGAUUUGGUCAUUAUAAAUGGUAUGCCUGUAUCAAAACUCACAUGUACACCAUAAAUGGAAUUAUUACGUACCCAUAAUUAAAAACUUAAAAAUUAAUUUUAAAAUAAUUGUAAUAUUAUGUACCCAUAAUUAAAAAAUUAAAAAAUAAUUUUAAAAAAGAAAGAAAAAAGACCAUUGGAAAAAUUUACUUUCAGAGUUUCAAUUUUUUUAAUGCAACUAAUAUUUCUAGUUGAAUUCAAUUUAUGAUGGAUUGGGUUAGGUACCCAAUUGGACAGAACUUUAAUAUGGAGAAGAGUGAUGGGGUAACAUUUAUUCUGUACGUUAUAUGAAAACUUAGAAAGUCAUAAUAAGUGAAGAAAGGUGGUCUGGAUGAAUUCUCUAGGAAACAGCCUUUGCCUGCUGCAAGGUGGCAGGAUUUUGUGGGUAGACAAGAUAUACUCAAAUUGUUUGUGUCUACAGAAAAUUUGGAUCAUCUAGCUUUGAUUAGUAAGCUGAAUUUACCAGUUGACUUCUAGAAAAUAGAAUCACUGGAAACCUGGAAUACAAAAGAAUGCAUUCUUGUCAGAGCAGUAUUGGAAUACUAAUUAGGGAAGCUCAACCACUGAAGGAAAAGUCCCAAAUUACAACAGGUUGCUAACCUAAAAUAAUCAAAAUGGUCAAAAUCUAGUUUAAGGAGAGUGUGUUCAAGUGCAAUGGGGGGAUGGCCCACCUAGGAAGUACAGAUUCCAAAGAAUGGAAGCCAGUGUUCCAAAGUGUAGGACUUAUCUAAGCUUUAAUGCCUCGUUACAAUGAUCUGAUUAGCUAAGGUGGUCUUUUUCCCUUGAGAAAGGUACAUUUAACAUUCCACAUGGAAGACGUAACUGUUAUGGGGUCCUGAGCACCAUCUAGUCUGAGUUAGAUACAGGACAAAGGAGGCAGCUAAUCUAUAACAAAGAUCAGUGAUUGGAAGGAAAGAUCUGGGCUCUGAUCUGUCUUACUCAUUUACAGAACAAGAACAGUGAGGAAGACAGUUAAGCUAUAAUGUAAGAAGCAGAAUUCCAAACAUAUGACGUGACUCAGUCUCCAGGGCUUACCUUCCCUGUUGGCAUAAUAAAUUCAGAGGGUCCUAAAAUUUUAUUUUCUUUUAUAAACUCUAUACCAAGGAAGUUCAAAGGGGAUUCCAGAUCAGCUGGGGGGCUCUCUGUCCUGUUCUAUGCACUCUUUCAAGAAGCCAGGCUGAUACUGGCUUUGACAUCUUUGACAUGUGACUUUCAAAAAUACUGGAGUGUCACCAUCCCAAUGAAUCAGAAAAGUAAAAAGAGUAUGGAGCAACAGUUAAAAGAGGUUUUGAUAUGCCAGGCAUGGAAGUGGCACACAUCACAUCUGGGCACGUUCCAAGGCCAUACUUCCCUGCAAGGGUGGCUGGGAAAUGUAUCAGGUUGUAUGCCCAGGAAGAAGAGAUUUUAGUGAACAGUGAGUAUCUAUGCCUCAAAAGUCAUUCAACAAGCAGAUCUAAAGUUCCUGUAAGUUUUGAGCCUCAGAAGUCUUAUUAAAACAAGGGGCAAAUUGAGGAAGUAAUGGUUAAAUUUUGGGGAUUUGGAUUCAGACAGUAUUGGGCUAGGUGACCUUGGCAGGUUACUGGCUGCCCAGAGCCACAAUUUCCUUAUUUGAAAAGUGAAGCUAAUAACAGCACAACCUUAAAAGGGUGUUGUGAGGGUUAACAGUUUACAGACUGGUAUGUGAAAGAUAGAAAGUGUUAAAUAAAUGAUAGUUUUCAAGCUGUUCAUGACAACUCCACUUCUCAUUUCAAAGCUUCUUUCAAUAAUAGGAGGGUCGUGCCUUCUGUUGAACAUACUGUAUAACCCAGGUGUCUUCAAAUCUCCUGAAUUUCUCAGAUGGUUAAUUUUGUGUGUUAAAUAGAAUUAUGGUUAAUUUUAUGUGUCAACAUGACUGGGCCAUGGAAUAUCCAGUUAUUUGGUCAAACAUUAUUUGGGGUGUUUCUGUGAGAGUGUUUUUAGGUGAGAGUAACAUCUACAUUGGUGGAUGAAAUAAAGCAGACUGCCCUCCCUCAUGUGGGUGCCUCAUCCAAUCAGCUGAAGACUUGAAUAGAGUAAAAAGGCUCCCCCAAGGCAGGCAGAAUUCUUGCCUAAGUGUCUGAACGGAAACAUUGCUCUCCUAGUUCUCAGGCAAUGCAGUCUCAGACUGGAACUACACUAUUGGCUCUCCUGGAUCGCCAGCUUGCCAACUCACCCUGCAGAUCCUGGGAUUUGUCAGCCUCCAUAAUCGUGUGAGCCAACUUCUCAUAAUAAAUGUCUUUCUAUACAUAGGCAACCUAUUAGUUCUGUUUCUCUGGGAGAAUCCUGACUAAUACUCUUUCCCUAACUAAAAUGCUGCAUACAGUUGGGAGCCCCUGAAACCCAUUUUCUUACCAAUGUUUAGUAAAUGGUCUAGGUUUGGGAGAAGAAUAGGGCUAUUUUUAAUGGGCAUUUGUCACUAAACUUUCAUUUCUCCUGUAUUCUCAAUUUUAUCACUUACCUUUCCUUAAUACUAUAGUUUCCACCCUACAUUAAAUUAUUUCUUCAUGCCCAAACAUCACUUUCCACACUUUUACUAAAGGAAACAGUGUUAUGGCCCAGGAAGGGCAGGUGACUCCCAGACAGCAUGGAUCUAAGUGGCUGGGAGCCAGGGGUCGGGGGAGAAUUUUCACUGAUUGCACGUCAUAUCAUGAGAGUUUUGAGUCAUAUGAAUUCAUCACACUAAAAAAAAAAAAAGGUGGGAAAGAGGUAGAUUCUUGCCCAUCAAGAAAAUCCUUCACAAUUUCUUUCUGCUUGUUCUUUAAAAUAAAUAAUUAUUUAGAAGAUUGCCAUUUCCAUACAGUUCUAAAAAAUCUAUUAAUAUUUAAAUAUUACAGUAAUAAAAACUAGUAUUCAUUGAGUAUUUACUGCUCCAGACUCCACUCUAAGCACUUAAUUACUAAGUACUUUGAUCCUCAGAAUAUCUCAAGGAAAUAUUAUAAUUAAAUAUAUACUAUCUAUAAUGAAUAACAGAUAUAUUAUACAUAUAAUAGAAUAUUAUAGUUCAAAUUUUACAGAGGAGAAAACUGAAAGUUACAGAGGUUAAGUAACUCACUGAAUGUUGAAUGUUCACUCCUGGUAAAGCAAUAAAAUCAGGAUUAAAACUUAGGUAGUUUAGCUGUAGAAGUAAGAAAUAGAAAAAAAUAUAUACUCUUAAAUCUGAUGGAGAAGGGGAGGAAAAGGAGGUUAUAAGGAAGUGGAGUUAUAUGAUUUUAGGAUUGCUGAGAGUGGAUGGUCACUAGAUACAUUCUAAACAGAGGAUGAAGUGUAUAUCAGUUAUGGUCACAGAGAUUACUAUAAAAUACAAAAACAAAACCAAUCCUUUCAAAUUAUAAGGAACAUAAACAAAGCAAAGGAAACACAAACCAUACCCAUGAAAUACUUUUUUAAAAGAAGCAACAAAAAUAGAAAUAAUAAUAUAACUAUGAUGCAAGUAAUACCACAUAUUUAUUAUAUCAACGACUAGAAAUUAUCUAGAAGUUCUUCUAUUAAAUUAGAAAUUUCAUAUUGGAAUACGAUGUCAAACUCCUAAAACAAAAUUAUUCAAAGUUGAAAAAGAAUGGAAAAAUACAUAUCAGGCAAAUGCAAACAGAAAGCAGGACUUAAGACCUUAACAUCAGACAAGAUUCACAUAAAUUUUAAAAGCAUUUUAUAAUGGAAAUUAAUAUAUUUUUAAUUUAAGAAAGCAAAAUCACAAAUCUUACAUACAUAUGUGUUCACUAAAACACAUAGAAUCAAAAUUCGUAAAGCGCAAACUACAAAAAGUACACAGAAAUAUAGGCUGAAAUAUAUUAUUUGUAGAAGACUUAACCUCACUCAGCCUGUGUUAAGACUGCAUUAUUUGUUCAUUACCAUUUGUUGCCCCCUCCCAUUCAUUCUUUCCAUCCUUCUCUGUAGGCAGAAUAUACUUUUUUAUCCCAUUCACUUAGGGGCUUAACUAUGCAAUCUGCUUCAAACAAGGGAAUGUGGAUAUGUGACAUGCAUGUGACAUGGACCCCAUAUCUGAGCAUGAACUUUAAAUGCACCUGUGUAGUUUAGCCCUGCCUCUCUUGUCCAUGCCAGAGCUGGGAUAAGGAUGAGGUGGGUGAGACAAGGUCUUGCAAGUGCAGGGUGAGAUUCUGUGUUUAUUUAAAAUUUUGGUAUUUCAUUAAUCAUGGAUUUUUGCAUGAAUUUUUAUUUUUAAAAAUAUUAUAUUAGUAUAUUAUUUAUCUUGAUAACAGAGUGUUUCAGAGUCUGUUGUCAAGACUUGCAGGCAAGGCUUUGCAGGCAAGGCCAGUGUCCCAUUGUAGCCCUGGUUCCAGCCCUAUACCAUGAGAAUGGCAUGUACUCAGAGCGUGACAUCUUCCUCAGCCUCAGGUAUGAAAUGAGAAGACCUGUGGAGCUGGACUGAGCUGAAUCAAGCUGAAUCAGUCUAGAUUUUGGACUUGCAUGGGGCCUGUAGCUCCUUUGUUGUGGCCAAUGUCUCCCAUUCGGAAUGGCUGUAUUUAUCCAAUGCGUGUACCCCCAUUGUAUCUAGGAAGUAACUAACUUGCUUUUGAUUUUACAGGCUUAUAGGCGGAAGGGACUAGCCUUGUUUCAGAUGAGACUUUGGACUGUGGACUAUUGAGUUGAUGCUGAAAUGAGGUCUCCACUUUUGCGUCUU